rnacentral:rRNA from 1 species
AUUGAACGCUGGCGGCAUGCCUUACACAUGCAAGUCGAACGGCAGCACGGGAGCAAUCCUGGUGGCGAGUGGCGAACGGGUGAGUAAUAUAUCGGAACGUGCCCAGUCGUGGGGAUAACGUAGCGAAAGCUACGCUAAUACCGCAUACGAUCUAUGGAUGAAAGCGGGGGACUCGCAAGAGCCUCGCGCGAUUGGAGCGGCCGAUAUCAGAUUAGGUAGUUGGUGGGGUAAAGGCUCACCAAGCCAACGAUCUGUAGCUGGUCUGAGAGGACGACCAGCCACACUGGAACUGAGACACGGUCCAGACUCCUACGGGAGGCAGCAGUGGGGAAUUUUGGACAAUGGACGCAAGUCUGAUCCAGCCAUUCCGCGUGCAGGAUGAAGGCCCUCGGGUUGUAAACUGCUUUUGUACGGAACGAAAGGUUUCUCUUAAUACGAGGAGCUCAUGACGGUACCGUAAGAAUAAGACACCGGCUAACUACGUGCCA